GCGCGCGUAGCUCAGUGGUAGAGCAGGUGUCUUAUACACACCUGGUCCCUGGUUCGAUCCCAGGCGCGCGCACCA
rnacentral:tRNA from 1 species